GCUGUCGCCCUCCUCGCACUCGCGGGCGCCGCGAGGGCCCGGGACGGGGUGCACCACUGAGUGGCGGGGCCUGGUUCCGGGAGAGCACAGAGUGCGACACCUGGGGCGGAGAGCGUGCAGGCCGAGCGGACCCGGGCUGGGGGAGGAGGGGGCCGGACACCGGACCACAGCCCGGCCGGGAAGUGCACUCAGUGGACACCGCUGGCGCCGGAGACGCCUGGAGAGGGGCCUGCCACGGAGGCUCGCGGCUGUAGGGUGCUUGCUUUGUGCUCCCCCAAGGACUGUGCCUUCCCACAGUAGGUCCUUCUAGAGGGGGAGUCUUGGGGCGCCCCAGAGCAGCCAGGCAGGAUGCUAAGUGCUAUCCCUCGGCCCCAACGCCCAAAAGCUUCCGAAGCAUAUCUGGCAGUGACAGCCACUAUAGAUGACUAAAGAAACGCCCAAAGUCUUGGCCACCAGUGACUUCAUCACAAGGCAGCAGUUCACAGCAGUGCUUGCCCAUAACCCUCCUCUUCUCACUGAAGACAGCAAGUUGUACUGGGAAGGUCAGAGUCUCCUGGAGGAAGCAUGGAGGGCUGAGGAGGAGGCAGAGCCCCCUCUCCUUAGGACACCACACCAUCACAGCUGACUGGCGACAGACAUCCAUAGAGACCAGCUGACCUUCUGGCUCCUCAGCGCCUGAAUUUAGAAGCAGAGGGGCCACUGUGAAGAUGGCCCUCAGUCGUGGACACUGAGCGACCGCCACAGGAGAAAGAAGCGUUCUCUGUAACGGGCAUGAAAGCUCAUUCCGGCGUCCGUGUGGAACGUGAGGUGGGAUCCCACAAAGGAUGACCACCAUGCCACCCCCAAGCGAGAACACGAACUUGCAGGUUGGGAAUUUCGUUCCCCUGUACCAUUUGGAGGUUCCACUGAGAUCACUGGAUGGAGUUGAGAGUUUACUUUUGUUUGAUAGACUCUGGACUGGGACUCGUUUAGACUUAAAACUGUGCACAUACCCAAGAUGAAAAUGCCUGGUGUCAAUCAAGGACCUCUAGACAGGAUCUCUUUGGAAGUACCUCUGACUGCCGUUCAAACACUGCAUUCCUGUUCAGCCUGAAGCAGCUAGAUCAGUCUUCUGCCCAUUUCCCCUCAUGGCAGUUCGGGUUACUUCUUCAGAGGGGAGAUUGUUGCAGGCAGCUGAGUUAGUUAGAAAUAGUAUAGGCAGUCAGACAGGUAUAGCCCUCAAGGAAGCUGGCAUAGAAGACCAGAUGUCUGAUGAUCUUGCAGGGGACACACACCUCUUGCUGUUGGCCAAAUCUCAAGACAGAAGGCAAAACAAAUGCAACCACACUCUUAAGUAUAAUCCUUAGGGAUUAAAUCUGGAUCACCUUGAGGAGCCAAGAGUCACCAUCCCAAUCCCCUAUAGGAGGAGUCACUGAUCUCUAAGAAUGCCCUUGUUCUAUGUGAUUUGCUUUCCCACUUGUCCCCAAUUUAAUCAAUUUUACCUAACCUAUUGAUCUUAUUGGAUAAAAGUCUGUGGAAAAGACAGAUAUUGGGCAACCCUCUCGGGACCCCUUCUGUCUCUCUUCAGACAGAAGCUUUCUUUUCCUCAAUAAAUAUAUUCUACUUUUAA